GACGAACGCUGGCGGCGUGCCUAACACAUGCAAGUCGAGCGGAGACAUUGGCUUCGGUUAAUGUUUUAGCGGCGGACGGGUGAGUAACGCGUGAGCAACCUUUCUCUUACUGGGGAAUAACACAGGGAAACUUGUACUAAUACCGCAUGAGACCACGGAAGGGCAUCCUUCAGAGGUCAAAGAUUUAUCGGUAAGAGGUGGGCUCGCGUCUGAUUAGAUAGUUGGUGGGGUAACGGCCUACCAAGUCGACGAUCAGUAGCCGACCUGAGAGGGUGAUCGGCCACAUUGGGACUGAGACACGGCCCAAACUCCUACGGGAGGCAGCAGUGGGGAAUAUUGGGCAAUGGGGGAAACCCUGACCCAGCAACGCCGCGUGGAGGAAGAAGGUUUUCGGAUCGUAAACUCCUGUCCUCAGGGAAGAGCAGAAGACGGUACCUGAGGAGGAAGCCCCGGCUAACUACGUG
rnacentral:rRNA from 1 species